rnacentral:misc_RNA from 1 species
CCAGAAAUAGGCGGCGGCGUUGUUGCUGCCGUCGGCGUUAGUGACGAGUCCGAGUAGCGCGGCGAACGGUCCUUGCGGCCCUGCCUGAAGCAUCGCCAUCACCGGCACGAUGCAGAUGAAGAUGCCGGCGAACAGGAUGGCGACUUCCUGAAUCGGCCCCCAUGAAAAUCCGUUGGCCUCGCGAUCUGAUUUCUGCGUCCACGUCAUGGAUGCGAUCGCGACCACGACGAAGAUCGCAUCGCGCAACAGGUCCUGAAUUUCGAGAUCGACGCCGGUGAUAUGGAAGGAGAUUCCGGGCUUCCACUGCGCGCUCAUCAGGAUGGCGGCGAUGAUGACCGCGAUCAGCACGAGGUUGAUCUUGCCGUGCAGUUUGAGCGGUUUGUCCGGCGUCGGGUCUUUCAGUUUGGUGAAGCGGCCCUCCCGGUGAUGCAUGUAAAGAUCGAUCACCAUGAA